rnacentral:rRNA from 1 species
AUAUCAAUAAGCGGAGGAAAAGAAACCAACAGGGAUUGCCCUAGUAACGGCGAGUGAAGCGGCAACAGCUCAAAUUUGAAAUCUGGCGUCUUUGGCGUCCGAGUUGUAAUUUGCAGAGGGCGCUUUGGCAUUGGCAGCGGUCCAAGUUCCUUGGAACAGGACGUCACAGAGGGUGAGAAUCCCGUACGUGGUCGCUAGCCUUUACCGUGUAAAGCCCCUUCGACGAGUCGAGUUGUUUGGGAAUGCAGCUCUAAAUGGGAGGUAAAUUUCUUCUAAAGCUAAAUACUGGCCAGAGACCGAUAGCGCACAAGUAGAGUGAUCGAAAGAUGAAAAGCACUUUGGAAAGAGAGUUAAAAAGCACGUGAAAUUGUUGAAAGGGAAGCGCUUGCAGCCAGACUUGCCUGUAGUUGCUCAUCCGGGUUUCUACCCGGUGCACUCUUCUAUAGGCAGGCCAGCAUCAGUUUGGGCGGUUGGAUAAAGGUCUCUGUCAUGUACCUCCUCUCGGGGAGAACUUAUAGGGGAGACGACAUGCAACCAGCCUGGACUGAGGUCCGCGCAUCUGCUAGGAUGCUGGCGUAAUGGCUGUAAGCGGCCCGUCUUGAAACACGGACCAAGGAGUCUAACAUCUAUGCGAGUGUUUGGGUG